UUAUGUCAUUUACUUCUCUGACAUUGUUAAACAAAACAACGAAUAACUUGUCAAAAAAUCAGAAAAACUUUUCAGGCCGAAUUUCAAAAAUUUUCAGUGUUAUUUAACAAAAUGUCCAGUAAAAAGGAAGAGCAGGUCUUUUACCCGAUAGAUUAUGUACCGUAUUGUUUGCCGAAUAUGCCUUUCCAGACGUAUUAUCAACAAAUAAAUACUAUUCCGUUUUUCCUGCCACCCAUUUCCCCAUGUUGUCCAUGUCCAGAAAACGGCACACUGAAGAAACAAAAGUGAAACUAAAUAAUCGUCCCUGUCCAUAUUGUGGGAAUACGUCUGUCUGAUGCGAAGCAGAAUUGUCAAAGUAACAACCUCAAUGUAACACUAAGUCCAAAUAGAUCAAUAAAACGUUUGAAACUGAUUUUAGAAAAAAUUAUUCCAGAGUGAGAUAUCAUAUUGUGUAACAUUAAAAAACUAUUCAAGUCUAUAUUCCUGUAACUGAAUUUAAGACUGAUGACAAUAUGGCCAAUUAUUCUACGAAUAAGAAAUACAGUUGGUCUAAACAUGCAUAGAAACCCUGGUGCUUUACCGACUCGCUUUUGUUAUCUCAUAAUCUCGACGCGGGAAAUGUGAUUGGCCCAACUUUAUACAAAUGUUCAUAGAUGGAGUAAGAAUCUGUUCCAAAUGUAAACAUGGGUGUGCGCUUAGCGCCUCUAUGAAUGGAAAGUCAAAGUACGUCGUAUCUCUUCAUUUCAUAAAGAAUCAAACGUGCCAGAUCGAGUUUUAUCAAAGAAAUAUUUUAAAUAGCAAGGGAUUCAAGUGUUAUUUCUAUGCAUCUUGGUUGGCUUCAUUCAAAAUUGAAGAGUUGUCACAAUUUUUCGUUUAAGCUCACAGAAAAUCAAAAUUUGAAGUGUAAAUAUGGAUUGCUGUUGUUGUCCUUGCCCUUCUUUUGCCAGUUGCUUGAACGCUUUGGCAUAUCCCUGCUAUCAAGUGCCGUAUUCUAUACCUGCCCCAAUGGCUAAAAUAGAUUACAUGUUAGUGCCCUGUUGCCCCCCUUGUAAUCCAUGUCCUCAGCCGAAAUUGUGCCCAAGCAAAAAAUAGUGUUGCAAAGUCUAUUGUUGAUAUUUCUUCUAUGAUUUCGUGAUUUGAACGUGUACUUUUAAUCAAUGAAUAUAUUGUUGAAGUAAUGA